GACGAACGCUGGCGGCGUGCCUAAUACAUGCAAGUCGACCUUAGUGGCGAACGGGUGAUUAACAAGUGGGUAACCAGCCCAUCAGAAGGUGAUAAAACUUGGCAACAGGUGCUAUUCGCGUAAAAUGCUGGAUGGACCAGGGGUGCAUUAGCUAGUUGGUGAGGUAACGGCGAACCAAGGACACGUUGCAUAGCCGACUGGAGAGGGGGAUCGGCAAAAUGGGGACUGAGACACGGCCCAAACUCCUACGGGAGGCAGAAGUAGGGAAUCGUCGGCAAUGGACGAAAGUCGGACCGAGCAAGGCCGCGUGAGUGAAGAAGGUUUUCGGAUCGUAAAACUCUGUUGUUAGAGAAGCGGUAUCUAACCAGAAAGCCACGGCUAACUACGUGCCAGCAGCCGCGGUAAUAC
rnacentral:rRNA from 1 species